rnacentral:lncRNA from 1 species
UGCACAGGGGACAGAAGGCCUUUAGGGGAGGACAGGCAUGCUGUCUCACCAACUCAGAAAUUAUCCCUUCCACCUUCCGCAAAAAAGGAGUUAAGAUUUUCUCAGAAGGUUCGGGAAAGUGGAGCAGCAGCUAACAAGCCCAGAGACAGUCUUUUGCACUGGCCACGCUCACAUAUUGUGAGAUCCUUUAAAGAUAUGUCUUUGCAGAAACUCCAUCAGAAGAGAAACACAGUGAAAGUGUGUUAUGUACACUGAUGCUUCUACAAUAACAAUAGCUGAUGUCACAAGAUCUAACUACAGAAGUGUUCAAGUACAAAUUCAUUUUCACUGGCAGAAACAUUAUGGAUAUUGCAGUGAUAGAGACUGUCACCAACAGUCACCAGAUCAACAGCAAUAAUGGAAUUGACAAACUUUCAUAUUCAGGAGGCUGCAGUUGCAAUUGGGAAAUUUUGUUAUGGUGAAGAAAAAGAAAGAUGUGGCGUUUGUUUUUACACGUUGCCAUGAC